rnacentral:rRNA from 1 species
CUGGCUCAGGAUGAACGCAGCGGCAGGCUUAACACAUGCAAGUCGAGGGGCAACGCGAGUAGCAAUACUUGGCGGCGACCGGCGCAAGGGUGCGUAACGCGUGAGCAACAUGCCCGUAUCAGGGGGAUAAUCCAGGGAAACUUGGUCUAAUACCCCAUAGUAAUUUUGUAAGGCAUCUUAUAAGAUUUAAAGCUUUGGUGGAUACGGAUUGGCUCGCGUGACAUUAGCUGGAUGGUAAGGUAACGGCUUACCAUGGCUAUGAUGUCUAGGGGUUCUGAGAGGAAGGUCCCCCACACUGGAACUGAGACACGGUCCAGACUCCUACGGGAGGCAGCAGUGAGGAAUAUUGGACAAUGGAUGGAAAUCUGAUCCAGCCAUGCCGCGUGAAGGAAAGAAGGUCCUAUGGAUUGUAAACUUCUUUUGUAUGGGAGCAAUAAGGCCUACGUGUAGGUUGAUGAGAGUACCAUACGAAUAAGCACCGGCUAACUCCGUGCCAGCAGCGGC